CCCAAACAAGGGCUAAUCUAAUUCCGAUGAAACACGGAGAUAACUAGCCUGAAGAUAAUGGUGAAACCUCUGCCAAGCUUUAAAACUAAACAUUUGUGAACCACCUAAGAGUAUUCAAGAACUCUUAAAAACCUCUGCCAAGCUUUAAGGCUAACCGUUUGUGAACCCUCUAAGAGUAUUCAGGAACUUUUAAAAACCCCUUCCAAGCUUUAAGGCUAAACGAUUGUGAACCCUCUAAGAGUAUUCAGGAACUCUUAAAAACCUCUGCCAAGCUUUAAGGCUAAAUGUUUGUGAAACUCUCUAAGAGUAUUAAGGAACUCUUAAAAACCCUUGAACCUUUAUGGCAGAUUCAACCUAAGAGUUUUUCUAAGAGUUUUCCUAAAAACUCUAUAGAACCACACCGAGUUUUAUGGUUGAACUCAUUUAACCUUUCAAGUGUUGGUAUUGAGACAAACUUCUCACAACACUUGGACCACUUACAAGAUGUAGAGUUUUUCUUCUAACACACUCUCAACGUACAAGAGGGGAAGAAGUUGAAGAACUAAGCACACAACCAUGAGAGCAACUCCAGCACAAAGCUUGACUUAGAGCUAGAGCUUGAGCAAGAGCAAAAGAGUAGAGCUUUGAUCCAAGAAGAGCUUUAGCAAAGAUAGCAAGUGAUAGCUUAAACUCUUAGAUGUGCAUCUCUUUAUAUAGUAGACAUUGAUGGCAUGGAGGUAAAUUCUUCAUCUUCAAAACUCCUAGGAAGAAGAGCUUGAUUAUAGACGUUGGAGGCUUGGAGCUUCUCUUGAGCUUGAAUUUGAUUCUUGGGAAAAUGUGUAGCAUUUAAUUUAAGAUCAUGAUUGUGUUUUAUUUUAGGAGAUUGAACCUCCACACGUUUUGCCUUGCUCCAAUUUGAAUUCUUCUUUUAGGAUUUUGUGUAGCAUUGAUUCAAAGAUCUUGGUAGUUAAUUUGUUGGAGAUACUCUUAGAAUAUAUCAUAAUUGCACUUCUACACGUUUUCUACACAUUGGGUACAUUUGAAGCUUGAAUGAAUAGUUGUAGCUUCCACACCUUCUUGAUUAACCUAUAAGACAUUGAUCAUUUUGACACAAGAGUUAAUACAAGUAGUAGGUGUGCAUAAUUAAAUACAAGCUUCAAUUAAUUAACUUGAUUAAUAGUAUAGAUUUGUUUGAUGGAAAUAAUAUUGAUUUCAUUCUAGUUAUAAUCAUAUAUCAAGUCAAUUUUAUUUAUAUGAGUUUAAUUAAUUUAUUCAUGUAGCUCUAACUCAUAUAUUUCAAUAUCUUGUUAAUUAAGGUUUAUUAUAUUUCAAAUUAAUUAACAACUAAAUAUGUCAUUGAGAAUCUUAUUUCUACAUUAUUGGAUAUCGUAUUUUCAUUCCACUAUUCCUAAAAUCAAAGAACAUGCAUGACAUAUAUAUUGAGAUUAUUGACUUAAUCAUUUAAUAUAAUUAAAACAGAACAUAAAACAUACAACACAAAUAAAAUCGAAAUAGUUCCAAAAUUGAUAGAUAACCAAUAGAUCGUAGAACAUUAGAAAUAUUUAUACAAUUAAAAAAUUUAUCUCACUAAAAUAUUUAACUUAUUAACAUACAUACCUUAGAGUUCGGAGAAGUGGAGAAGAACGAUGGUAGAAGUGCAGAAUAAUGCUGUCGAGAGUAAUAAAAAAUCAGAAUGACACAAUGUCAAAUAAAAAUCACGAAAUGAUUAUGUAAAACUUAUAUAAAUGAUGACUAAAAUAUAAGAAAAUAAAAACAAAAAACAAUCCAAAAUUGAUUAAAUUGUUGUGAUAUAUAUGAUGACUAAUAUACAUAUGCACUUUUUGCUAACUAUUGCAAAAAUUAAUAAAUUGUUACCUGUCUAAAUUUGAAAUAGAAAGAAUGAAAGAAUAAGAAAAUGAGAGUCUUAAUGACUGAUGUUUAUUGUGAACUUGUAAAAACUAAUGUUUAAGGUCGAAUAAAUAUAUCAAAAAUCUAACUAAUGAGUCAUGUGGGAAAUUACCUAAAUUUUCUUUGGAUCACUUAUAAAGAAAUUUGUCCCAAAAGAUAAAAAAAUCGUUAAGUGCAUUCACUAAUAUCAUAUGAUGUCUAUGUCGAUGAGGCCAUCACUGACUGACCAAAUUGAAAGAACAAACUAACACCAUUGUAACUCGAAAUUUCAAACUUAUGCAGUUCAUAACAACUCGAUUCAUUCAAUCCUAAAAUUGACUGUGAAAGAUGAAGGCGAGAUAAUGACAAUGUGCUUACCACUCACAACCUCCCCUCACGCACGAACUCUUCGUGCCUGCAAAUAAAUCAAACCAAUCCACCAACUCUUGAAAUCCGUCGUAGAGAGAGGAAAGUUCUGUAAUUGAUUAAAACGUAUUGUGAGAGUUGGUCGAGGGAGAGAAUGUUAGAAAGGUGGAGAGUGGAUCAGAUCUAGUCAAGGAGGUAGGAGAUCAAAUCUCAUAAAUUUCCUAAAUAAAUGUAAAAAAAUCUCCUAAACAAGAACAAAUGUUGCAGAACAUAAUCAAACGGAAUAUCAAACAGACAGAUUUGGGGGAGAUAUAUAAACAGAACAUAUUUGGGGGAGAUAUAUAAACGGACAUAAUAUACAAACGGAAUGUCACCUGUGCUCUGGCGAGAUAUCACGAUAUUACUCCGACGAGAAAGAGAAAAUCGAGGGUUUAGGGCGUGAGUGAAAAUAUUUGGG
rnacentral:lncRNA from 1 species